rnacentral:rRNA from 1 species
GUGCCAGCAGCCGCGGUAAUACGUAGGUGGCAAGCGUUGUCCGGAAUUAUUGGGCGUAAAGCGCGCGCAGGCGGUCUCUUAAGUCUGAUGUGAAAGCCCACGGCUCAACCGUGGAGGGUCAUUGGAAACUGGGGGACUUGAGUACUGGAGAGGAGAGUGGAAUUCCAUGUGUAGCGGUGAAAUGCGUAGAUAUAUGGAGGAACACCAGUGGCGAAGGCGGCUCUCUGGCCAGUAACUGACGCUGAGGCGCGAAAGCGUGGGGAGCAAACAGGAUUAGAUACCCUGGUAGUCC